GACGAACGCUGGCGGCGUGCUUAACACAUGCAAGUAGAGCGGAGUGGCGAACGGGUGAGUAACGCGUGAGUAACUGCCCCCCUCUCUGGGAGAACAGUUGGAAACGGCUGCUAAUACCGGAUAGUGGGGGAUGACUCGCGUCCUAUCAGCUUGUUGGUGGGGUAGUGGCCUACCAAGGCGACGACGGGUAGCCGGCCUGAGAGGGCGACCGGCCACAUUUGGAUGAGGUACGGCCCAAACUCCUACGGGAGGCAGCAGUGGGGAAUAUUGCACAAUGGGGGAAACCCUGAUGCAGCAACGCGCGUGCGGGAUGACGGCCUUCGGGUUGUAACCCGCUUUCAGCCAUGACGCGGUAGUGGCCGAAGAAGCACCGGCUAACUUCGUGCCAGCAGCCGCGGUAAUUC
rnacentral:rRNA from 1 species